GGAUACCUUUGGUAAUUCUAGAGCUAAUACAUGCAACUGAGCUCCGAACCACCCGUGCGGACGAGCUCCGUGCGACGUGGGGCAAGAGCGCUUUUAUUAGCCCCUGAAAUAAACCGACCGGACUUCGGUCCGCUAAAUGCAAAAAUCAAAUCGGGUGAGACCGAAUAACUUAGCCGAGCGCUACGGUCAUUGAACCGGCGCCGGAUCCGACCGAGCGUCUGCCUUAUCAGCUCUCGAUUGUAGGCUACAUGCCUACAAUGGCUGUAACGGGUAACGGGGAAUCAGGGUUCGAUUCCGGAGAGGGAGCCUGAGAAACGGCUACCACAUCUAAGGAAGGCAGCAGGCACGCAACUUACCCGAAUCCUGGCACGGGGAGGUAGUGACGAAAAAUAACGAUGUGGGACUCUUCCGAGGCCCCGCAAUCGGAAUGAGUUUAACCUAAAUCAAUGGACAAGGAUCCAUUGGAGGGCAAGUCUGGUGCCAGCAGCCGCGGUAAUUCCAGCUCCAAUAGCAAAUGUUAAAAUUGCUGCGGUUAAAAAGCUCGUAGUUGGAUCUUGGAUCCGGACGGGCGGCCCACUCAAGACGUGCCCCCGCCACCAAAGGGACUGGGAUGCGGGCCACCGCGUGGCUCAGCCUCUCCAGUUUGGGCGAGUGUGCACCUUCGUGGUCUUUGACUGCGAGGUUCUUGCGCGAGUGUCCGCUGGGAGUGCCAGAGAGCGUGGCUGCGUUCCGCUCCCAUGUCUCGGCGGGUGCGUGCGUCCGGUUGGACAACUGCCUGGCUCCGGAUUGCAUUAAAAAACCCGUCGGUUCACAUGGGGUGCUCUUCACCGAGUGUCCCUCGUGGCCGGCACCUUCACUUUGAAAAAAUCAGAGUGCUCAGAGCAGGCCUGAACACUAUGCCAAGAUGGUGACGCAUGGAAUGAUGGAACAGGACCUCGGUUCCGGCCCUUUGUUGGUUUUUUCGGAAUUAGAGGUAAUGAUUAAAGGGAACUGACGGGGGCAUUCGUACUGCGGCGCGAGAGGUGAAAUUCUUGGACCGUCGCAUGACGAACUACUGCGAAAGCAUUUGCCAAGGAUGUUUUCAUUAAUCAAGAACGAAAGUUAGAGGAUCGAAGGCGAUCAGAUACCGCCCUAGUUCUAACUGUAAACUAUGCUGACCGGCAAUCCGCCUGAGUCACGCACGACGCAGCGGGCAUCCUUCGGGAAACCAGAGUUUCUGAGUUCCGGGGGGAGUAUGGUUGCAAAGCUGAAACUUAAAGGAAUUGACGGAAGGGCACCACCAGGAGUGGAGCCUGCGGCUUAAUUUGACUCAACACGGGGAAACUCACCAGGCCCGGACACCGGGAGGAUUGACAGAUUGAGAGCUCUUUCUCGAUUCGGUGGGUGGUGGUGCAUGGCCGUUCUUAGUUGGUGGAGUGAUCUGUCUGGUUAAUUCCGAUAACGAACGAGAUUCUGCCCUGCUAACUAGUCGGUGGAUCGUCUCCCGAGGUCGCUGGGUUCUUCUUUCGCGGACCGUUCCCGGGUAACUCUGCGGCCGCGUUCUCCUUCGUGUCUCUCUUCCUCCAACCGGGAGGUUGGGAGGUUCUGUGGGAAGCGCAUGCCAACUGGGUCCCGGUGUUUCGGACCCGUUUGACCCCCACGGCUUUUCCGGGGCGUCCGUCGCAUCUUCUUCUUAGAGGCAUCGGCAGCGGCCAGCUGCACGAGAAGGAGCAAUAACAGGUCUGUGAUGCCCUUAGAUGUCCUGGGCUGCACGCGCGCGACAAUGGUCGGUGCAACGUGCCCCCCUGCUCAGAAGUGGAGCGGGGAACCAUCUCAAAUCCAUCCCCGAUGGGGAUUGGGGAUUGUAAAUGUUUCCCAUGAACGAGGAAUUCCCAGUAAGCGCGAGUCACCAGCUCGCGCUGAUUACGUCCCUGCCCUUUGUACACACCGCCCGUCGCUACUACCGAUUGGAUGAUUAAGUGAGGGCAUUGGACUGGCGCCCGCGGUUAAGUCUCUCUGCAUUGUCCGCUAACGUCUCCUCGCGAGUCGGGGCUUUCGGGCAGACACCGUGGGCUGACGGAAAGAUGUCCGAACUUGGUCAUUUAGA
rnacentral:rRNA from 1 species